rnacentral:rRNA from 1 species
AGAGUUUGAUCCUGGCUCAGAUUGAACGCUGGCGGCAUGCUUUACACAUGCAAGUCGAACGGCAGCACAGGGAGCUUGCUCCCGGGUGGCGAGUGGCGCACGGGUGAGUAAUACAUCGGAACGUGUCCUGUUGUGGGGGAUAACUGCUCGAAAGGGUGGCUAAUACCGCAUGAGACCUGAGGGUGAAAGGCGGGGAUCGCAAGACCUCGCGCAAUUGGAGCGGCCGAUGCCCGAUUAGCUAGUUGGUGAGGUAAAGGCUCACCAAGGCGACGAUCGGUAGCUGGUCUGAGAGGACGACCAGCCACACUGGGACUGAGACGACCGGCCCAGACUCCGUACGGGAANCA